rnacentral:rRNA from 1 species
CAGCGCCGCGGUAAAACGAAGGGGGCUAGCGUUGCUCGGAAUGACUGGGCGUAAAGGGCGCGUAGGCGGUUCGUACAGUCGGAUGUGAAAUUCCUGAGCUUAACCUGGGGACUGCAUCCGAUACGUGCGGGCUUGAGUGUGUCAGAGGAUGGUGGAAUUCCCGGUGUAGCGGUGAAAUGCGUAGAGAUCGGGAGGAACAUCAGUGGCGAAGGCGGCCAUCUGGGACAACAUUGACGCUGAGGCACGAAAGCGUGGGGAGCAAACAGGAUUAGAUACCCCGGUAGUCCCUGUCUCUUAUACA